CGUGCCUCCUCCACCCAACCCCCCACCUCCAGCCUCCCCCAGGCUCAGCACACUUCCAGCCCUGGGAUUAGGGGAUGCUAACCAGUGGUUUAGUAAAUCUAGGGACCACCUGGGAAGUUCCUCCCAAGACCUUGGCUGGGCUGCUUGGCCUAGACUGCCAUACCCAGAGGUGGGGUCUCCGGGCAGCGGGGAGCCCCUCCCGCUGAGCUCGCUUCUGCCCUGGUCGCCCGGGGCAGGGGGGCUUGGCACGGCUGUCUCCGAUGGCCCCAGUGGGAGGGUCACGGCUAAGACACCCGGCCCAUCUCAUUGUUUCAAGCCGGCUUCCUCUUCUGGCAGAGGCCAGCGGCUCCCGCUGAGCGGGAAGGGGCCGGGACGCUGCUGGAGCCCUCGGGAUGUCUACCUCUGCUGCUCCUUCCCCUCUCCAGGAGCUCGCGUUUCCCGGGGUGUGUGAGCAUUCUCAAUAAAAAGGGAAAAGCACCAUCCAAGUGAAUUUUCCAACGCCGAGAGGAAAUGCUGUUUCCUGCAUCGUACAAGACUGGUGCCAAUAAGACUGCUACAGGAGCCCAUUGUCCGGCUAACAAUGUGUGAUGGGGAAGGGCGCCUGAGAAAACAGACCCGGGGCCACGGCUUGUGCUCCUCUGGUGGGCUCUCAAAGAUGGGAACAGACUGGAAAAACAGCAAAGAAGAGCAUAGAAAUGGAAAGAAAAAAGGAAAAACAACAGUCUCCAGGUCACUCCGUGUAGAGCCACUCAGCAAGUCCCCUGGCUGCCGACGCUGUGCGGAACCCAGCAGCCUCGUAGUCAACAUGGGACAGCACCCAGCCCAGACACAGGUGCUAGAGCGCCAGUGUCCCGUGCGUGCCCGGCGGGGUACCCUGCGCCGGCGGGCCCGGAGGUGAUGGAGCUGGGAGGCGACUGGGCGUGCGCACACCCGCACACCGGCCCGGGCCCACCUGGGCGCCCGAGGUCAGGGCCUUGGCCAGAGUGUCACCUCCCUGCCCUCGGCGCUCACGUAGUCGGCGUGUUCGGGACGUGAAGUGCCGACCCAGAGGCUGCUCCGGCCAGGGCAUGGGCUGGGCGAUAAACAAUCACACAGGAUACACAACACCCUGGACUGUCACAAGUCCCUCGCAGGAAAAGAUAAAUAACAUCUGAGGAGCCGCGGGCGCAGCUUCCCCCAGCAGAACAAAAAACUCUGGAGAAGUAAACAACAGGGCCGGGAAGAGUUCACACACUAGCCCUGGAGGCUGAGAGAGGCCACCUCUUCCCCGGGGGCCGCUUACUCAGGGGCUCCUUCCAGCGCAAAUGACACGCACGCACACGCACAAAGGCACGCACACGCACAAAGGCACACAACACGCAUGCAUGGUUCAAAUCGAGCCCUUUACAAUGAUUGGCAAAGCAGGGCAUAGUGGCACAAACCUACCUAUACUGCACUUCCCAGGCAGGAAGUCGCAGGCCAGCCUGGGCUACGUAAAGGAAACGUAUUGUACCUGAGCUACAUACCAAUGAACAAGAGAUUGGCAGUUGUCACACUCUGGGUAGGAACCUUGUUUUCUGGGCUCUGCAAGAGUUGUCUGUGCAAGAGGCAAGGAGGGGAGGUGUGUUUUUCUGGACUGGAAGACUGAGGAUUUCCUGUAAAUACAACUCUUUCCUUAAGGUUUGCUCUUGGAGUCAUAGUCAGUGACAUGAAACCCACCCUGGUCACCUGUAAAGGAAAUCACAGCUAUCCAAACCCGAGGAACACAAUGAAUGAAUACAAUAAAGUGUUCAAGAUACACACUCAAGGGUCCACUUGGUGACCUUUGUUACCUCUCACCUGGAGUGUGAUUUUCCCAAAGCAGCCCUCCCGUUCCGUGAGCCUCCUGUGGGCCGGCCAGACCUCUACACUGCCCUAGCUGCUGCACACAGAUUUACAUCCCUACCACAGCCUGCUCUCCUCUCUGUAUCCUUCGAUUCAGUCAUGUUUGUCUCCUGGCAAAUAAUUGGCUGUGGUGGUUUGAAUGAAAACGGUCACCUUAGACUCGUACAUUCAAAUGCUUGUUCUCCAGUUGGCAGGACUGUAUGGGAAGAAUUAGGGAGGUGUGCCACUUUCAAACACCCUGGCUAUUCCCUAAGUUAGCUCUUACAUCUCCCAGGAUGGAGGCUCUCAGCUACCGCUCCAGUGCCAUGCCAGCCUGCUUGCCGCCACGCUCCCCAUCACGAUGGUCGUGGACUCUACGCCUCUGAAACUAUAAGCCUCCAAUAAACUCUUUCUUCUCUAA